GAUGAAGAACGCAGCGAAAUGCGAUAAGUAAUGUGAAUUGCAGAAUUCAGUGAAUCAUCGAAUCUUUGAACGCACAUUGCGCCCCCUGGUAUUUCGGGGGGCAUGCCUGUUCGAGCGUCAUUUCACCACUCAAGCCUCGCUUGGUAUUGGGCAACGCGGUCCGCCGCGUGCCUCAAAUCGACCGGCUGGGUCUUCUGUCCCCUAAGCGUUGUGGAAACUAUUCGCUAAAGGGUGUUCGGGAGGCUACGCCGUAAAACAACCCCAUUUCUAAGGUUGACCUCGGAUCAGGUAGGGAUACCCGCUGAACUUAAGCAUAUCAAUAAGCGGAGGA
rnacentral:misc_RNA from 1 species